rnacentral:rRNA from 1 species
CAGUCGCCACGGGAAUACAGAGGGUGCGAGCGUUAAUCGGAUUUACUGGGCGUAAAGCGUGCGUAGGCGGCUUCUUAAGUCGGAUGUGAAAUCCCUGAGCUUAACUUAGGAAUUGCAUUCGAUACUGGGAAGCUAGAGUAUGGGAGAGGAUGGUAGAAUUCCAGGUGUAGCGGUGAAAUGCGUAGAGAUCUGGAGGAAUACCGAUGGCGAAGGCAGCCAUCUGGCCUAAUACUGACGCUGAGGUACGAAAGCAUGGGGAGCAAACAGGAUUAGAGACCCCCGUAGUCCCUGUCUCUUAACC